rnacentral:tRNA from 1 species
GGGCGUGUAGCUCAGCUUGGAUAGAGCGACAGCCUUCUAGGCUUUAGGUCGGGGGUUCAAAUCCUCUCACGCCCA